rnacentral:rRNA from 1 species
AGCGAACGCUGGCGGCAGGCUUAACACAUGCAAGUCGAGCGGGCAUCUUCGGAUGUCAGCGGCAGACGGGUGAGUAACACGUGGGAACGUACCCUUCGGUUCGGAACAACUCUGGAAAACUGGAGCUAAUACCGGAUACGCCCUUAUGGGGAAAGGUUUACUGCCGAAGGAUCGGCCCGCGUCUGAUUAGCUAGUUGGUGGGGUAACGGCCUACCAAGGCGACGAUCAGUAGCUGGUCUGAGAGGAUGAUCAGCCACACUGGGACUGAGACACGGCCCAGACUCCUACGGGAGGCAGCAGUGGGGAAUAUUGGACAAUGGGCGCAAGCCUGAUCCAGCCAUGCCGCGUGAGUGAUGAAGGCCUUAGGGUUGUAAAGCUCUUUUGUCCGGGACGAUAAUGACGGUACCGGAAGAAUAAGCCCCGGCUAACUUCGUG